rnacentral:lncRNA from 1 species
GUUACUCUAUCAGAUGGAAAAUUUUAAAACGUGCUAAAUCUUACAGUAAUGCAUCCAAGAGAUGUAACUUGUGUAUUUGGGAGAAGUAUUUUAUUAUUUGUAAACCGGACAUUGCAACACUUAACCGUCGCAACGAACUUGUCUCCACGUGUAGACACGCUAAUAAAUAUCUACUUAAAAACUUUAUAACUUGAUACUAAUAUUUCGUGACACUGCUUAAAGUGUUAAUUGAUCUGUAAUUAGAUAAGCAUCCUUUACCAUCUGUACAUAUUUAAAAAGUUCGUUAGAAGCUAGAGGUCAA